GCCAUAGUUAGUUAAUUCGGAUUCGGCAAAAUUUUGGUUCGGGUAUAAUUCGGAUAAAAUUCGUCUUCUAAUUUUUAAUUUCGUUGAAAAAUACGGCUAAAUAACGGAUUCGCCAAUUAUUCAGAUACGUGAAUUAUACGGAUAUUAUACAUUCACAAAUUAAAAAUUCGGAAUAAAAAAUUCGGCUAUUAAAUUAAAUAUUUUUCUCUCAAGAUUUAUACUAUUAGUAUAAAUACUCAUAAUUCUUAAGAAUAUAAGAAUAAAGAGCUACAAAAUUAAGUUAAUAUCUCCAUAUUGCUAUUUCUCCAAAUUCAUUGGAAAUUCACAGUAUUGCCAGUUAACACCCAUGUUUUUUAGCCUUUGUUACGUUUGCUAGAUCUCCCUUGGUUUUUAAUCAAUGCAUAUGCUUGUGACUUUCAAACCUUACUCACAACCUGCUGGGCAUAUCAAACCUUUUGAGGUCUUAAUUCUUAAAACCUUAUUUGCUAAUUAUUCUUGUAUGCUGGACAUAUUCAUGUAUGCUGUAGAGAUUAAAGAUAAAAAAAAAAGUAAUGAAUCUUAAUAAAUGCAUGUUCACAAUGAUGCUACAUUUUGUAGUCAUGGUCCUGUUACUCAAAACCAUACAGCAAUUAAGAGAAGAUGAAAUAAAGGAAAGAGAGAGAGAGAAACUAAAGCAUAAAAUUCUUGUAAAGAAGCACCCGAUUUCUGAUCCAUCGUUGGAGAGCGGAAACGGAAGCGGAAGAGAAAGAGGCGACGAGGAGGAGGGUUCUGAUUUCUGAAGAGUGAAGAACCCGAUCUUC
rnacentral:lncRNA from 1 species